GCUCCCCUCUUCCGAGUGAGAAUAGUGACAAGUGCAGUUUUCUGCUCAUUCAUUCAUUCAUUCAUUCCACACACAGGCAUUGGGAGCCUGCCACAGGCCACACACUUGCAGGGGCUAGGAAUCCCGGCAAUGCAAGCAAAGCAGAAACUGUCAUUCUUGCCAGAAUGAAAUCCUUGCUCUUCUGACGGCAAACAAAUCAUCAGCAUAAAUGACCACAGUGUAUGAUGUGUGAAACCUUGAUGAAGCCUGGGAGAGAAAGGGGUCGGGUAGUACAGGAGGUGCAGCUGCAGACAGGGCAAGCGGGAGCAGAGCUCCAGCAGGAGAGAGUGAGCCAAGAGGCGGCCUGGGGAGAGGGUUCGGGCACUGGGCAGGAGUGGGGAGGGUGGCGACAUGAGUCGUCAUCUCCACGUGCGAGGGAAGGAGACGAGGAGAGAAUGGAACACAGAGGGCCAGGGCCGGGCUGGGGAGCGUGAGUGCCAGCGGUGGUGGACGGUCCUGAAAGCGGUGAGCUUGAGGCAGAGGAACCCAGGAAGGCCAAGGGUCUUUCCCAGGUUCCUGCCCUGGAGUCCUUGCCUUUGUCAAGCUGGGAGCAGUGGGUGUGGCCGGGCACAUGGUCCCGGUGCAGCUUGACCCAACCUCUUUUUGAUGGCCAUGGAGUUCCUGCCCAGAGACAACUGUUGUCCAGUGCAGCCAACACAGAGAACACCGGGAUCCAGUGUGUGGUGAGAAAAGUGGCCCAGAGCCAGUGGGAAUAGCAGCUGUCAGCUCGCAGAGUGUAAAUGGAGAGGGAGUGUUACAGAUUUGCUGAAAACCCCUGGUUUUACAGACGAGGAAACCAAGACUCAGAGAGGGAGGUGUCUUGCUCCCACUGCCCAGGUAGCCAGUGGUGUGGGUAGGGGGAAGUAAAUCCAUGCCACCUACCAUGCUUGGGUGGGUUUUCCCCACCAAAUGCCUUGGCUUCUUUGUGAAUUAUCUUCACACUUUCCCAGUUCACUUUCCCAAUCUUCAACUGUCCAUUCAUCCAUUCUGGACGUGAGCCUGGGUGAACUGCUGGUGCAGGCUAGCCUCUGUCCCAGAGGCUCCCUCCCAACACUUCGUGGUCAUCUUCCUCCCUGCCCUUGCCCCCACCUGCUCCCUCCAGCACCUCUCUACUGGCUGCAGAGAGAAGGAAGCGCCACACCUGAGCACUGCACUGGGGCAGAAGGGUGGCCCCUGAGGGUUCCCAGCCUGUGGAGACAGAAGCCACUGAAAUUUUAAAAACUGAUUUCCCCUCUAACAGAGUGGAAACAAAUGGGUUGGGCAAGUUCCAGAAUUUGGAGGGGGCACAGACUAGAACAGGCCCAGCUCACAAGGGGCCCAGUGGCAGCACUAGAGGGAGAGAAUGCCCAGUGUCACUGAUCUGGGGACCAUGUAAGAUGCUGUCCCAAAGCGUGGGGCAGUUUCAUGCAGCACCACUGAGAUGCUUCCUGCGAGACAAAGACACGGAAUCAGUCAGGAGAGAAAUGAUGUUCGGGUAAGUCCUUCACCGACCAGAAAGACAGAAACUCUAUGAGCACGACACGAGCAUCUGUGAAGCAGUCGUUUUGUGCUACGCAGCUGGAGACUGGGUUUUCUGAGGAUUUUCGUGGAUUCAUUUACAGUAGCAGGAAUGGAGACAGGGUGGGGAGUGUCCGGUGGUGGCCACUGCCCUCAACCUGCACCAGAGGGCUAGUCCCAGUUCUGGAAAGCAGCUGAUCCAACUGAUUUUUUUAAAGAUUUAUUUGUUUAUUUGAGAGGCAGAGUUACAGACAGAGAGAGAGAGAAAGAGGUCUUCCGUCUGCUGGUUCACUCCCCAAAUGGCCACAAUGGCCAAAGAUGAACUGAUACGAAGCCAGGAGCCAGGAGCUUUUUCCAGGUCUCCCACACUGGUGCAAGGGCCCAAGCACUUGGGCCAUCCUCCACUGCUUUCCCAGGGCAUUGCAGAGAGCUACACUGUAAGGAGAGCAGCCGGAACUCGAACCUGUGCCCAUAUGGGAUGCCAGCACCCCAGGCAGCGGCUUUACCCACUAUGCCACAGUGCCAGCCCCAAUUCGGCAGGUGUUGCUUCUAGAUGCUCGAGGUGUAGCAAGUUUUGUGUGGCAUCACCGAAGACAACUCAAAUGAAUUCAGAGCCCUUCAUUCUGCACAUCUAACUUAUUCCUUACCUUGGCCCAUUUUGCAAGCAGGAGGUGGGCCACAGCCAGCCAGCACACUCUGUGGCUUGAGCUACUAAACAGCAUGGGUCAGAGGUGCCAGAACUUGGCCUGAAAGGGAUUGAACAGGAGGGUUCUGCCCCCAAAUGGUGGGUGGGGGAGGAAGGGGAGGCCUUGGAAAGAGCCAGACAACUGGAAGAAAGGUCCCAUUCACGGGACUCUGCCUUUCUCAGCCACCUGGACAGAGCUCAAGGGACAGCCCCCAGGGUUGGGUGGGCAUGCCCGUGGCCUACACUGACAUGGCCAGGCUCAGGUCCCCAACAACAAAGGGGAGUCGGCUACUGAGCUCAGACCCAAAAGACUUGAAGUUGGGACCACGGUCUCUCAGAGACGGAGCCGUGUUCAGACCGUGAGCAUCUGGAGAUGUACCCUGAAGAAUCAGCCUGCAGACCUGAGGCUGGAGCGCAGCAAGAAGCUGCAUCACAGCCGGCUUUGACCUUGUGAAAGACUGAGGGAGUCCCAGGAACAGCUUAAGCAAACCACCAUCCAUUCUCACCGCAGAGCCCCGUGACGCUGGAGGGCGUGGAUCAGGAAGCGUCCAUCCUUGGAGAGUAAAUCCAAAAUUCUGCCCACCCCAAACGCCCGACACCCACCUGCUUGUGCACAGACUCCCUGCAUUGUUUUUCAAUGCAGCUGAAGCAGCUCCCGCAGCUUCUGUCGCUGGAUCGUGUCCAAUUCUCUUAGAACCCCCGCCUCUUUCAUGACUCACCCCUUCCCCAGUGGCUCAGUCCUGGACUCUCUCCUCCCCCGACGCCUGAUACUGGGGACAGGGCAGGGGAGGGGACGAACUCUCAAAUUCGCUGGUGUCACGCCAGAGGCAGGGCCUGGUGUCCAGCACGGAGGGCUCUGUGGGGUGCUGGGGGUCUCUAAGUAGGUGGUUUUCCUGGGUCUGGCCUCUGGUUCACUCAGGUCCCUCUGGCACUGGGUACCCAUCAGAGAAGGAGCCUUGUCCCCUUGGGGCCCAUUCUGGGGUUCACAUCCCUGAGCCCCUCUCAAAGUAUUCCAUGGCCCUGCACCUCCUUCACCUCCCCUCUGCCCUUCCAUGGAAUUCAGGGAAAGCUCAGGUGUGUCCUCUCGGUACCCACUGAGGCCCUGGGGAAUGUCCCAGGAACCCAGCAGGUGCAAGCUGCUAAGAGACACAUGGAGCUGUCUCAAGUCUCUCACCACCCUUCUUCCUUGGUGCAGCCUCAUGUGGGGCCUCAAUUCUAGCACUUGGCAGGCCCAGGCACCGUCCCCCUUCCAGCCCAGCUCCAUGCAUGACUUACUGUGAGUACUUCCUCAUCCACCACCAUGGCAGGAAGAAGUUGGGGAGGACAGGAAGUGGCUUGUCCCUGGCACAUGCGUCCCCACCACCUUACUCGCUGCCUUCUGCCAGCUUGGGGCCUUGGCUGCCAUUCCCAGACAGUAGGAAAGCUCCAUCUAUCCUGUUAUUCAGCCAGGAGGAGAGGAUGGAAGAACCCAUGUGCGCUGACACACAUGACCUUCCCAACACACACUGACUCUCCACGGCCUUGGCUGCAGUCAGAAAUACUCGAAAAAAUGGCAUGAUGGUAAUGAAUGUGGGUGGUGGAAUGAUGGCCACUGGCAACGGAGCCUGUCUGGCAACAGGAUGUGAUUGGUUAGGGCAUAGACCACCCCUUGACCAGAUUGGCUGUCUUGGCUAUAUAAGCUGCUAUACCAACUGAAAUAAAUGAGUCUGCAGGCUGCUUUCCUCUAGCUUGCUUUCACCCGGCUCCCAGGGUCUGUGUGGUGACUCUGCCUCUUGCCUCCACUGCACUCCUCCUCUCAGAACGAAUCCACAGCAACACGUGUGUACAAGCCUUUCUUCUCGCCACUGCUCUCUAAAUGACUCUGUGUACCAGCUGUCCACACAGCAUUCGCAUUGUAUUAGGUAUUCCCAGCCAUUUAGAUGUGACUUUAAGUACACAAGAGGGUGUACAUGACAGGCAAACACGGCAGCAUUGGGUAUAAGGGUCCUGGGCAUUCUCAGAUGUUGGCACGAGAGGUAUCUGUAUAGUGAAAUUAGAAAGCAAGAUUUAGAACACUCUGCGUUAUGGCCCUGAUGUGUACAGCAGAAUGCUACAGCUUGGGUAAAUUACACACAAUGGGAGUCCAUGCGGCUCACGAUUCUGGAGCUGGGAAAUCUAAGGUCAAGAGGUCCCAGCUGGUCAGGACCCUCUUGCUGCAUCAUAGCGUGGUGGGAGAGGCCUCAUAGUGAGACAGCAUGGCAGGGGGGGGGAGGGGUGACCUCUCCCACCCACCCAUUAUACCCAACCCACUCCCCUGCCAACAGCUUUCCUGCUUUGCACAAGAGCGAAGCCCUCGCCACUGGGUCACCUGUAAAGGCUGCCCCUCCAUAGUGAUAUGGCUGCAGACACAUUUCAAAGUGUGUGGUGGAGGGGCAUGCAAACCACAGCUAGCAGGGAGGACGCAAUGCGCACAUAUGAGUCUGGGUCUGCGGUCCAUUCCUGCGAAGGGACAAGAAGUUACAGAGGUUGCUGUGGGGAAUGGGGCCUGGGUCCCAGCUCUCACGCUGGGUCUCUCUCUAUGCAUGGUUGGGAGCAGACACCCAGUGAGAUAACAACCUCAGAAGGGAGGGAGAUUAAACCAAUCAGAGGGGCAUUUCCAUCCAUAGUUCAAAGGCAACAGUGAAUGUCAGAGAGGGUGACUGCCCCACGUGUGUGCACCAAGGAUAAGGGGCCUGUGGCCAGCAAAGGGGAACUAGACGAGUUAGUGUUAUAAAAAUGCAUUUACAAGGCAGGUGGUGAGAAACCAGGCACUCUCUUGUUCUGAUUCCACGUGCGCUUUUUCUUUCU